rnacentral:rRNA from 1 species
GAUGAACGCUGGCGGCGUGCCUAAUACAUGCAAGUCGAGCGAACGGACGAGAAGCUUGCUUCUCUGAUGUUAGCGGCGGACGGGUGAGUAACACGUGGAUAACCUACCUAUAAGACUGGGAUAACUUCGGGAAACCGGAGCUAAUACCGGAUAAUAUUUUGAACCGCAUGGUUCAAAGGUGAAAGACGGUCUUGCUGUCACUUAUAGAUGGAUCCGCGCUGCAUUAGCUAGUUGGUAAGGUAACGGCUUACCAAGGCAACGAUGCAUAGCCGACCUGAGAGGGUGAUCGGCCACACGGGAACUGAGACAAGGUCCAGACUCCUAAGGGAGGCAGCAGUAGGGAAUCUUCCGCAAUGGGCGAAAGCCUGACGGAGCAACGCCGCGUGAGUGAUGAAGGUCUUCGGAUCGUAAAACUCUGUUAUUAGGGAAGAACAUAUGUGUAAGUAACUGUGCACAUCUUGACGGUACCUAAUCAGAAAGCCACGGCUAACUACGUG